rnacentral:lncRNA from 1 species
CAAGUCACCGGUUUAUUUUAAAUUCCCAAAUCGAGGAAAUUGAUUCUAUUUAUGGUCCGCGAACACAGAAGACUCGGUAAGAAAUUCUGUUAACCCGAGAGAAGGUGUGAGGUACUCCCGAGUUCCGUGGUUUUAGCACGGUCGCUUAACAAUUAAUACCUGGCUUAAAUAUCUGCAUUAUUACAGGUUUAAAACCUAUUGUGCAUUUUUACUUCUAACCGCUUUUAAUUAAUUUUAAUUGCUGUUUAGGAAUUAUGGGAUUUAUUUGAAGAAGUCACGAUGUCGCUCACUUGUUUGUUUUUGUAUAUAUUGCGAAUCACGCCACGCGAAACAUAGCCGUGAUUCACAACACGUUUAUUUUAAUUAUUAUUUGAAGUUGUGGUCAAGUCGCGUGAAACACGCACUUGAGUUGAGAUUUACAUAUCGUGACCAUGCCACGGGAACUGUACCCAUAGUCACGAUGAUUUAUUAAUCGCGCCUAAAGCAAACUAUGAAUGUUUAUGAGUUGUUUAAUUCCUAAUACUGCUUUGAGGUAUAUUGCAAGGUCAUAAGAAUUAUGGAGAAAUGUUGUUGACAGAAUGUGUACAGAUUGAGAUAAUUUUAAGGUAAAUUGACGUAAGCAUCACUGAAUUCGAACGUCAGUUAAUUAUUCUAUCAUUUGAGACCCAUAAGUUUGGAAAACGACUAUUUGAAGAAUCACGAAUAAUUAAGCCCAGAACUUUUGAAAAUCCCUACAUGCCUUGUAUUUACAAAAUCACUCAACCACUGAAUGGCAGUAUUAUAGAUUAACAAAAUAAAUAAAUGGUUUGAACAAAUGAACUUCUAUCAAUUUAAACAUUUGUAAUUUACAUGAACAGUCACCUAAGCAAAUACACUGUCAAUUAUGGAAUACAUCAUCUUAUGCUUAAAAUUACAACAUCCAUCCUCCAUUAAAGAAUACAUGUUUGGUUAACCUUCACUAUGAUCACAACUCUAACUGAUGCUUAAUGAAUAACAAACCCAAACAACAAAGAGCCGGCAGAGAUGAAACUUCACUCAAGCCUUAAAUGGCAAAUCAAACCAACCUGUGACCAGAUCCACCAUUAUUGACCUUCAAAUCCAGGAUUAGACUUUAAUUUAUUAGAAUACAAAAGCAAGUUCAGAUUUCAGUAGUUAACACUCAAAUAUAGGCAGCAUGUAUUUGAUAAUGAGAUAUGUAGGUUGAGAUCCAACUAAAUAUGUGAAAUCAGCUACAAUUCUAGUCACGAAAUUGCAAUGGAGACCAUUUGUCCUUAACAUGCAAAUCCAUAAUAGGUUUUAAGUCUUAAACACAUCAAAAAUAACAUCCAUUCAUGUUCAAAAUAGAACAAACAACCAGUUUAUAUAAUCACAACAAAUAACUUUAAAGAAUAACCAACAUUUCAUUGCAAAUCAAAACAGAUGUACAUGUGUGAGAUGUGUACCUAAACUCGUAAACAAGCUGAACUUUUGCCAAAUAAAGGCUAAGAAAACCAACACGAGAUGAAUUCAGCAAGAACAAUAGCAGGAAACAGAAGAACAACCUCAAGUCUUAGCUAAACAGCAGGGUGACAACAACAGAUUUUUCAACAACUCUAUGCAAUUUUGAAGAAAACAGAAGUUGAAUAGCAAAUCAAAACAGAGAAAACAGCUUGUGAAAACCUUGAUGGAAUUUUCAGAGUGUUAUCUUUUAGAAAUCAGUGUAAAAAAUGAAGAAAAAGAGUCUGAAUCAGAGAGUAAAUGUCCAAAAUGAAUAUGCAGGGGUGCUUUAUAUAGGGAAUAUGUAUGCCCUAUGAGAGAAUGAGAGAGGGUGUGAGAGUAUUCUGCCAGCUCCCUAAAAAUCAGGAAUUGUCAUCUUUUUCAACUAAAUUGGACAGCUGUCCUUUUCAGAUAUUUUUUCUUAUUUUCAGCAUCUUUUCUUAACCAAUUUGGACAACUGUCCAUCAUCUAUUCUUUUCCUAUUUUUCUCAGCCCCUUAACUUCUGAAAUUAACCCCUUUUGACCUUUAAUUUACUGCAUUUUAACCCCUUCCCAAACUCUUCUAGAACUUUCCAUCAGCUAAAAGAAAGAUUCCCUAAUUUUCUAUCACAUUCACCCCACUAAAGUUCCAAUUAAUACCAACUAGUGCCUUUACCUCAACCUACUGUCCUCUUUUAUCCCACAUAAUCAAUAUUUACUAAACAAAAACUAAUUAAUCUAAAUUGAAAUUAAGCUAUCAAGUACAAAUUAAUCACAAUCAGCAAACUAGUUGACCUAUCAAUUAAGCACAUGCGUAAUUAAAACCAUAACCUAAUUAAUCGAUUGAACUUCAAGUAGAACUAAAUCAAAUAAUUAUUCAGAAAGUUAAAACAUUUUCAAUUAUUAACCUAAGUAUGUUGACAUUCAAACAGGUGAUUACUAACAAAAUGCAAGCCUACGAUUAUUUAGCUAAUUUAUGAGCGAAACUGAUUCAAUUAAACUAGGUCAAACAAACCACACAAUUAAAAAAAAAUCUUCUGCUUUCAAGAAACAAAAUCAACAAAAGAAUAAGAUAAAAAGGGUGAGAGAGUACCUAUGGAAGGAAAGACGAUUCAAUUGAAGCGAUUUCAACGAGGUUCGACCGGAUUCUGAUGGUUCCGAAAUGAGAUAAAACUUACAUUAAUCAAUUGCUCUUGACUAGAGCAAUUGAUCAAUGUCAGUUUCAAGUCAAAAGAGUUGAGAAUCAAUGAAGAAAUCCAAAGGGAAUGAAGCUAGGUUUUCUGACCGUUUUUUAGAUCUAAAAUUUGUGAAGUUUGGGUGGUUUUUUGGGAAAAUUGAUGGGAUAUUAGGGAUUAGGAGGAUGUGAGGACUGUGGGGUGUGAAUUCGAGGGAGAUUGGGGUUGUUUGAAGUGGCGUCGCCGGCAAAGGGUCUUGGGACGGCUAGGGUUUGAGUGAGAGAGAUGAGAGGGAAUGAAAAUGGGGUCUCUAAGGGUUUGGGGGGUCGGUUCGAACAGAUAUAAGGGGAUUGGGUGGUGCGUUUAUGGCCGUUGGAUUAAGG